AUUGAACGCUGGCGGCAUGCUUUACACAUGCAAGUCGAACGGCAGCGCGGGCUUCGGCCUGGCGGCGAGUGGCGAACGGGUGAGUAAUGCAUCUGAACGUGCCCAGUAGUGGGGGAUAGCCCGGCGAAAGCCGGAUUAAUACCGCAUACGACCUGAGGGUGAAAGCGGGGGACCGAAAGGCCUCGCGCUAUUGGAGCGGCCGAUGUCGGAUUAGCUAGUUGGUGGGGUAAAGGCUUACCAAGGCGACGAUCCGUAGCUGGUCUGAGAGGACGACCAGCCACAUUGGGACUGAGACACGGCCCAGACUCCUACGGGAGGCAGCAGUGGGGAAUUUUGGACAAUGGGGGCAACCCUGAUCCAGCCAUGCCGCGUGCGGGAAGAAGGCCUUCGGGUUGUAAACCGCUUUUGUUCGGGAAGAAAUCCUCUGGGCUAAUACCCCGGGGGGAUGACGGUACCGGAAGAAUAAGCACCGGCUAACUACGUG
rnacentral:rRNA from 1 species